rnacentral:lncRNA from 1 species
AGCCGGAAGUGGACUCAUUUUCCACCGGAAGGAGGGAGAAAUUAUGACCGAGAGCCUGACACCUGAUGCUAGCGGCUUUUGUCUCGCCAAGUUGACCCAGUAUUUGGCCACCUUGUGCGGCGGGUGACUAUGGUGUCCAGGAUUGGUGUCAGCAGAAAACCAACAGUGAUGUGGUGGCACACAGUGAACUGACAGGACCCAGGCAGCAGCGGUUCUUUUGGUGGCAAUGGUGCCAUGUCAUGGGUACUCUCCUUGCUGAUGGCAGAUACCGACAGGCAAACUGUUGCCUUGCGUUUAGCUCUGUUAACCAUUGACAGUAAGAUUUAUCAGAGGUUGCAGCUGCACAUGGCCAUGAGGUAAACCUUGCCCCUGUUUGAAAUUGAGUUUCAUCAGCUUCUACAUGGGAUUAUAAGGACUUGGAAUAUAUCACAGACCCAGCAGGGUUUCCCCCCUCAUUUUUUUUUUUUAAGAUUUAUUUUUCUUCCUAAAGAUAACAUGCUUAAACAAAGUUCUUUAUGGUUAGUAACUGUGAUGCUUGAAGUUGGUUAUCCCUUACUCCAGUAAAUUUUAAAUGUCAAAGAUAUCUUGUUAAAUAAAAAAAAAACUAUCAAAAUUUU